UUUUAUGGGUUCCAUUUUGAGUUUUAACAUAUUAUGUUUUUUUGUUUCAUUUUCUUGUUUGCUGAAAAUCUCGGACCCCGAGUGAUCAUCGCCUGUGGGGUUUCCCAUUUUUAAAGAGAGAGUGGUCAUCGCCUGUUGAGUUAACUGUUAGAGAAGGAACAGGGAAUAGACGGAGAUCGAGCGACUGUUUCCGGCGGCUCAUCAGCUGGCUUAUGCAGCACUGGCCUCAAAGAUUUCACCUUCUUUUUGGGUUUUCUCCCCUUCUUUUGUUCCUUCAAGAAAAAUGAUGCGGGUUAUGAAUGAAGGAGGCCAUGCUUUUGAGACCAAGUAUUUGGGCAGAUCUUAACAAGAAUAUGAGCAAUUUGUAAAACUGUGGCCUGCACCAAGAAGAUCAGCUCACUCACAUAUUUAGAAUAAGAGAUCUUGUGGGAAAGAAUGAUGCUAAAACCAGCAAGCAUUAGAUGAGUGGAGAGGACAUGCUUCCAUGUGAUGAUUUUCUUGUUCAAGAGUUCACACGCUCCAAGGGACGAAGCAGGGGAUGAAUCAGUUGAUCACGACUGGCCUGUUUGAUCAUGGAUGUAUCAACUACAAGGCUAGAAUCACUGCAUGCAAGUCAGAAGAGGAGGUUAAAUCACUCAAACUUGUGCAUGCAAGUCAGAAGAAUGUUUUUCUUUUUA